UACGGGGGGAGCAAGCGUUGUUCGGAUUUACUGGGCGUAAAGGGCGCGUAGGCGGUCAGCACAAGUCAGUUGUGAAAUCUCCGGGCUUAACUCGGAAAGGUCAACUGAUACUGUGCGACUAGAGUGCGGAAGGGGCAACUGGAAUUCUCGGUGUAGCGGUGAAAUGCGUAGAUAUCGAGAGGAACACCUGCGGCGAAGGCGGCCACCUGGAAGAUUACUGACGCUGAGACGCGAAAGCGUGGGGAGCAAACAGG
rnacentral:rRNA from 1 species